rnacentral:rRNA from 1 species
UGGGGAAUAUUGGACAAUGGGCGAAAGCCUGAUCCAGCCAUGCCGCGUGUGUGAAGAAGGCCUUAUGGUUGUAAAGCACUUUAAGUGGGGAGGAAAAGCUUAUGGAUAAUACCCAUAGGUUCUGACGUUACCCACAGAAUAAGCACCGGCUAACUCUGUGCCAGCAGCCGCGGUAAUACAGAGGGUGCGAGCGUUAAUCGGAAUUACUGGGCGUAAAGCGAGCGUAGGUGGUUUAUUAAGUCAGAUGUGAAAUCCCUGGGCUUAACCUAGGAACUGCAUCUGAUACUGAUAAACUAGAGUAGGUGAGAGGAAAGUAGAAUUCCAGGUGUAGCGGUGAAAUGCGUAGAUAUCUGGAGGAAUACCGAUGGCGAAGGCAGCUUUCUGGCAUCAUACUGACACUGAGGUUCAAAAGCGUGGGUAGCAAACAGGAUUAGAUACCCUGGUAGUCCACGCCGUAAACGAUGUCUACCAGUCGUUGGGUCUUUUAAAGACUUAGUGACGCAGUUAACGCAAUAAGUAGACCGCCUGGGGAGUACGGCCGCAAGGUUA